GAUGAACGCUGGGUGGCAGGCCUAAUACAUGCAAGUCGAACGAGAAAGUUUCUUUCGGGAAGCGAGUAGAGUGGCAGGACGGGUGAGUAACACGUGCGUAAUCUACCUUGUUCUGGGAAACAACCGUGUAAUAGCGGCUAAUGUCCCAUGUUGUUUUUUUUCGUAAAGGAAAAGAAUUAAAGCUCCGGCGGAACAAGAUGAGCGUGCGUCCUAUUAGCUAGUUGGUGAGGUAAUGGCUCACCAAGGCGAUGAUGGGUAGGGGUUCUGAGAGGAAGGUCCCCCACACUGACACUGAGAUACGGGUCAG
rnacentral:rRNA from 1 species